rnacentral:rRNA from 1 species
AUUGAACGCUGGCGGCAUGCCUUACACAUGCAAGUCGAACGGCAGCGGACCUUCGGGUGCCGGCGAGUGGCGAACGGGUGAGUAAUAUAUCGGAACGUACCUUUCAGUGGGGGAUAACGUAGCGAAAGUUACGCUAAUACCGCAUAUUCUGUGAGCAGGAAAGCAGGGGAGUCGCAAGACCUUGCGCUGAUUGAGCGGCCGAUAUCAGAUUAGCUAGUUGGUGAGGUAAAGGCUCACCAAGGCGACGAUCUGUAGCGGGUCUGAGAGGAUGAUCCGCCACACUGGAACUGAGACACGGUCCAGACUCCUACGGGAGGCAGCAGUGGGGAAUUUUGGACAAUGGGCGCAAGCCUGAUCCAGCCAUGCCGCGUGAGUGAAGAAGGCCUCGGUUGUAAC